rnacentral:rRNA from 1 species
GACGAACGCUGGCGGCGUGCUUAACACAUGCAAGUCGAACGGAAAGGCCUGCUUUCCCUUGUGGAUUGCGGGUACUCGAGUGGCGAACGGGUGAGUAACACGUGAGUGAUCUGCCCCCAACUUGGGUAUAAGCCUGGGAAACUGGGUCUAAUUCCCGAUAGGACUGCAGGGUGGUGCCUGUGGUGGAAAACGAUUUUCUAGUGGUUGGGGAUGAGCUCGCGGCCUAUCAGCUUGUUGGUGGGGUAAUGGCCUACCAAGGCGGCGACGGGUAGCCGGCCUGGGAGGGUGGACGGCCCCAUUGGGACUGAGAUACGGCCCCGACUCCUACGGGAGGCAGCAGUGGGGAAUAUUGCACAAUGGGCGGAAGCCUGAUGCAGCGACGCCGCGUGGGGGAUGACGGCCUUCGGGUUGUAAACUCCUUUCGACCGCGAGGAAGCCACCUGGUUGGAAGGGUGGUGACGGUAGUGGUAGAAGAAGCACCGGCUAACUACGUG